rnacentral:rRNA from 1 species
GACGAACGCUGGCGGCGUGCUUAACACAUGCAAGUCGAACGGUGAAGGGACCAGCUUGCUGGUUCUGGAUGAGUGGCGAACGGGUGAGUAACGCGUGAGUAACCUGCCCCCUUCUUCUGGAUAACCGCAUGAAAGUGUGGCUAAUACGGGAUAUUCUGGGUCUGUCGCAUGGCGGGCCCGGGAAAGAUGUUGCUUCGGUGGGGGAUGGGCUCGCGGCCUAUCAGCUUGUUGGUGGGGUGAUGGCCUACCAAGGCGGUGACGGGUAGCCGGCCUGAGAGGGGGGACGGUCACACUGGGACUGAGACACGGCCCAGACUCCUACGGGAGGCAGCAGUGGGGAAUAUUGCACAAUGGGCGCAAGCCUGAUGCAGCGACGCCGCGUGAGGGAUGGAGGCCUUCGGGUUGUAAACCUCUUUCGCCAGUGAAGCAGGCCUGCUCCUUGUGGGUGGGUUGACGGUAGCUGGAUAAGAAGCGCCGGCUAACUACGUG